UACGUAGGGUGCAAGCGUUAAUCGGAAUUACUGGGCGUAAAGCGUGCGCAGGCGGUUAUGUAAGACAGGUGUGAAAUCCCCGGGCUUAACCUGGGAACUGCAUUUGUGACUGCAUAGCUAGAGUACGGUAGAGGGGGAUGGAAUUCCGCGUGUAGCAGUGAAAUGCGUAGAUAUCUGGAGGAACACCGGUGGCGAAGGCGGCAUUCUGGACCGAAACUGACGCUGAGGCGCGAAAGCCAGGGGGAGCAAACGGG
rnacentral:rRNA from 1 species